CGGUCGGCCAGCGUGUUGAUCAUGCGGAGGUUCGCCUCUUCCGGCGGGCACGGGUACGUCGAGGUGGCGUGCAGCAGCACCAGCCGCUCGG
rnacentral:tRNA from 1 species